ensembl:lncRNA
CUGCAUUCUGGGCUGGCCGCCCGGCCUCGCGGGCUGGCUGACCGCGGCGCACGCGCGCUGCGUCGUUCCGCGUCUGCGCCCCAGCGGCGGCAGCGCGGGGCGGGGAAGGUGGCUGUGCGGCUGGAGAGGACUCCGCAGGGUCGCCUGGCACCUCCCUCCCGGGCUUCUGGGGCCGGGCCCCGCCGGGGGACGAGGGGCGUCGGCGGGCGGGCCUGUCCGGCUGAGCCCCCUGCUCGGGCUCGGGCCCAGCCGGGGCUACCGCACGCCACACCGAGAACGCCGACUUCGGGGCGGCGUCCCUGAGGUAACCCCGGGGCACCACUUGGAGAGGUCCAGCACCUUGCAAGAGUGCGCGCCUGUUCUCCGCCGUGCGGGAGUGUGGGACUCCUGAUCGAAGCCGGCCCCCCAGUCUUCAGCGGCCGCUGGCAUGGCCGUCUCCCCAGGAGGCUCCCCCAGCACUCAGCCCUCACUGUCAGAAGGAAAUAGCUUGCCAGAGCUGCCAGGUGCUGGGCCAGGUUGGCCGCAGUCCCCACCUCAGGCGGGAGAGGGUGACGCUUGUCAGUGCAGGGCACCUUGAAGAUGUCAGGAAGUGCCUGUGUUGGCCCUGGGCGAAAUCUGGCAUCCUAGUGGCUGCUGGGAACACCCUUAAUGCCAGAAGAAGUCUGCCUUCCUGCCCCGCCUCUCUUCACGCUACAGUCUCAAGAAUGCAGAAGCGUGGUGCAGUGAGUUUUAAAAUGAGCUCUUUCUGCCUUUUUGUUUUUUCUCUUUGGGGGGCCCCCUUUUCCCUGUUCUCUGUGCGCCCCACACACUGUAUGUAAACUUGCAUAGUUGCUGCACAUUUAUACAAGUGUCGUUUGCGUGAAUUUACACCUUUUUACACCAGUGACAGUUGAGAGAAACAAGGUGGGACAUCCGGGAAGCACAGCUGCUCCGCUCAGGGAGGUUAGAGGGUCAGGUUAGGAAUUGGGUUAAGGAGUCAGGUUAGAGAUCACGGGAGGUUAGGGAUCAAAAAGGGAUCGGAUCCGAGGUUCAGAAUAGAGGUCAGGUUAGGGGUCAGGACACCGGAAGAGGACUGGCGGGACUGUGUGCUGUUUGGCCACGCCCCGCGUGAAGGCGGGCGGAACUGGAUUGGACCAGGUUGCAGUUUUGCCCAGAGGUGUGAUGAAGGGAGAGAGGGGAGUCACGAUGUGUGCCAGACAGGGGCUUUAUAUGACUUGAGGGAGC